AUGGGUCCAAACGUGGGGUUGAUUUAGCUAGCGUGCGAAUGAUACAACGAGAAUAAAAGAUUAGAAAAUAUCUAGGAGUUAGUUUACGCAACCUUACUGUAGUAUGCUUUCGGAAUAAACCAUGCUUCAAUUAGGUCUUUUAAGGAUUGUAACGUGGCUUGGUUCAUGGUUAUUGAAACAAAAGGAUAUAAGGCUCAAAGUUUAUUUUAACCCACCCUUUCUUCAUGAUGAUCUCCAAUCCUAUGUUCAAUUAACUCAACCCACACUUUAC
rnacentral:lncRNA from 1 species